rnacentral:rRNA from 1 species
UACGGAGGGAGCUAGCGUUGUUCGGAAUUACUGGGCGUAAAGCGCACGUAGGCGGCUAUUCAAGUCAGAGGUGAAAGCCCGGGGCUCAACCCCGGAACUGCCUUUGAAACUAGAUAGCUAGAAUCUUGGAGAGGUCAGUGGAAUUCCGAGUGUAGAGGUGAAAUUCGUAGAUAUUCGGAAGAACACCAGUGGCGAAGGCGACUGACUGGACAAGUAUUGACGCUGAGGUGCGAAAGCGUGGGAGCA